rnacentral:rRNA from 1 species
UACGUAGGGUGCAGGCGUUAAUCGGAAUUACUGGGCGUAAAGCGUGCGCAGGCGGUUUCGUAAGUCAGAUGUGAAAGCCCCGGGCUUAACCUGGGAACUGCGUUUGAAACUGGGAGACUUGAGUGUGGCAGAGGGGGGUGGAAUUCCACGUGUAGCAGUGAAAUGCGUAGAUAUGUGGAGGAACACCGAUGGCGAAGGCAGCCCCCUGGGAUGUGACUGACGCUCAUGUACGAAAGCGUGGGGAGCAAACAGG